AUUGAACGCUGGCGGCAGGCCUAACACAUGCAAGUCGAGCGAGCGGCGGACGGGUGAGUAAUGUAUGGGAAACUGCCCGAUGGAGGGGGAUAACUACUGGAAACGGUGGCUAAUACCGCAUACUAUCGGAUGACCCCAUAUGGGAUUAGCUAGUAGGUGGGGUAAAGGCUCACCUAGGCGACGAUCUCUAGCUGGUCUGAGAGGAUGACCAGCCACACUGGAACUGAGAGACGGGCAAGACUCCUACGGGGGGCAGAAGUGGGGAAGAUUGCACAAGGGGCGCAAGCCGGAUACAGCCAUGCCGCGUGUAGGAAGAAGGCCUGAGGGGGGUAAAGUAAUUUAAGCGGGGAGGCGUUACCCGCAAAAGAAGCACAGGCUAACUCCGUGCCAGCAGCCGAGGUAAUUA
rnacentral:rRNA from 1 species